rnacentral:rRNA from 1 species
CCUACGGGCGGCAGCAGUGGGGAAUAUUGCACAAUGGGGGAAACCCUGAUGCAGCGACGCCGCGUGAAUGAUGAAGUAUUUCGGUAUGUAAACUUCUAUCAGCAGGGAAGAAAGUGAUGGUACCUGACUCAGAAGCCCUGGCUAACUACGUGCCAGCAGCCGCGGUAAUACGUAGGGGGCAAGCGUUAUCCGGAUUUACUGGGUGUAAAGGGAGCGUAGGCGGUUUGGCAAGUCUGAUGUGAAAGUCCGGGGCGUAAACCCGGGACUGGAUUGGAAACUGCCGAACUAGAGUGUCGGAGAGGCAAGUGGAAUUCCUGGUGUAGCGGUGAAAUGCGUAGAGAUUAGGAGGAACACCGGUGGCGAAGGCAGCUUGCUGGACGAUGACUGACGUUGAGGCACGAAAGCGUGGGGAGCAAACAGGAUUAGAUACCCGGGUAGUC